rnacentral:piRNA from 1 species
UAUUAAUUAUUACAAAGACUGCAGUACCA